UAGGGAAUCUUCCGCAAUGGGCGAAAGCCUGACGGAGCAACGCCGCGUGAGUGAUGAAGGUCUUCGGAUCGUAAAACUCUGUUAUUAGGGAAGAACAAAUGUGUAAGUAACUAUGCACGUCUUGACGGUACCUAAUCAGAAAGCCACGGCUAACUACGUGCCAGCAGCCGCGGUAAUACGUAGGUGGCAAGCGUUAUCCGGAAUUAUUGGGCGUAAAGCGCGCGUAGGCGGUUUUUUAAGUCUGAUGUGAAAGCCCACGGCUCAACCGUGGAAGGUCAUUGGAAACUGGAAAACUUGAAUGCAGAAGAGGAAAGUAGAAUUCCAUGUGUAGCGGUGAAAUGCGCAGAGAUAUGGAGGAACACCAGUGGCGAAGGCGACUUUCUGGUCUGUAACUGACGCUGAUGUGCGAAAGCGUGGGGAUCAAACAGG
rnacentral:rRNA from 1 species